UACGUAGGGUGCGAGCGUUGUUCGGAAUCACUGGGCGUAAAGGGCGCGUAGGCGGCCCUCCUAGUCGCGUGUGAAAGCCCCGGGCUCAACCUGGGAACGGCGCGCGAAACGGGGGGGCUGGAGUUCGGGAGAGGGAUGCGGAAUUCCAGGUGUAGCGGUGAAAUGCGUAGAUAUCUGGAGGAACACCGGUGGCGAAGGCGGCAUCCUGGACCGAUACUGACGCUGAGGGGCGAAAGCCAGGGGAGCAAACGGG
rnacentral:rRNA from 1 species